rnacentral:tRNA from 2 species
AGCAGGAUAGAGAAGCAGCAUCUCAUCUGGUUCAUACCCAGAAGAACGCCGGUGCAAGUCCGGCUCCUGCAACCA